rnacentral:rRNA from 1 species
UACGUAGGGUGCGGGCGUUAAUCGGAAUUACUGGGCGUAAAGCGUGCGCAGGCGGUUGUGCCAGACAGGUGUGAAAUCCCCGGGCUUAACCUGGGAAUUGCAUUUGUGACUGCACGGCUAGAGUGUGUCAGAGGGGGGUAGAAUUCCACGUGUAGCAGUGAAAUGCGUAGAUAUGUGGAGGAAUACCGAUGGCGAAGGCAGCCCCCUGGGAUAACACUGACGCUCAUGCACGAAAGCGUGGGGAGCAAACAGG